rnacentral:rRNA from 1 species
UGGGGAAUAUUGCACAAUGGGCGAAAGCCUGAUGCAGCAACGCCGCGUGAGUGAUGAAGGCCUUCGGGUUGUAAAGCUCUGUCUUUUGGGACGAUAAUGACGGUACCAAAGGAGGAAGCCACGGCUAACUACGUGCCAGCAGCCGCGGUAAUACGUAGGUGGCAAGCGUUGUCCGGAUUUACUGGGCGUAAAGGAUGCGUAGGCGGAUUUUUAAGUGAGAUGUGAAAACCCUAAGCUUAACUUGGGGACUGCAUUUCAUACUGGAAAUCUAGAGUGCGGGAGAGGAGAAUGGAAUUCCUAGUGUAGCGGUGAAAUGCGUAGAGAUUAGGAAGAACACCAGUGGCGAAGGCGAUUCUCUGGACCGUAACUGACGCUGAGGCAUGAAAGCGUGGGUAGCAAACAGGAUUAGAUACCCUGGUAGUCCACGCCGUAAACGAUGAGUACUAGGUGUAGGAGGUAUCGACCCCUUCUGUGCCGCAGUUAACACAAUAAGUACUCCGCCUGGGAAGUACGAUCGCAAGAUUAAAACUCAAAUGAAUUGACGGGGGUCAUAGCUGUUUUCCU